rnacentral:sRNA from 1 species
GCGAUGAGCUGAAUUGUGUAAGACGAGCACAUGCCUUAAAUGGCGAGCACAAUGUGGAGUGCUGUGACCUCGCCUCAAUUUUCGAAAGAAGACACUUGCUAUAGGCAGGUGUC